CACGUGAAGACAUGAUUGCUUCCCAUUCAGCCUUCUGCCAUGAUUAGUGAACGUCCUCGUGGCCUUUAAAGAAUUUGUGUGCAAUGUAUUUCCAGCUUCCUGUCACUCAGGUUGCACUCCUCUGGACAUCCCUUAUGUUCCAUUUUCCCUUGUCAUUUACUGUACCCAGAACAGGUAUGGUAUGACCCCUGAAAAAUCCCAGGACUAUUGGUUCCAUUGGUUUGACUUCUCUACUUUCAAUAAGGUGACCUAAGAUUACAUUAGUUCUCUCUCUUUUGGAUGUCAGUUCACAUUGCCGAUUUAUAUUGAGCUUGUUACCAACCAAAGUUCCUAAGACUUUCUCAGGGGACUGAAGUUAAAUCAGGUCUCCUUGAUCCUCUACCUGCUAAAGGGUGUUCUGAAUGCCAGUGCUACAUUAUAUAUUUAUCCCUAUGAGAUUUCUCCUUGUACUUUUGGUCCACCAUUCUUGCCUUUUAAAAAAACUUUUAUAAUCAUCUGUGUUAAAUUGUUGUAAUACUGGCUUCCAAUUAUUUCAUACUCUACCCCU
rnacentral:lncRNA from 1 species